GAGGUUAAUGGGCGGGGUGGGGGGCGGAGAAAAUGUUGUCACGUCAGCCCGCCAAACUGAGUAGCUGUACUGAGUGGUACCGUGGUCUAGGCACUUCUUGGACAAUAUGUCUCACCUACCGAUGAAACUCCCGCACAAGAAGAUCAAGAAGCAAAACCUCAAAUUGCAGCAGCAGAACCUAAUGUUGCAGGGGGCCUCAAAUCUGACCCUGUCAGAAACUGAAAAUGGAGAUGUGUCUGAAGAAACAGUGGGAGGUAGAAAGAUUAAAAAAUCAAAACAUUCUAUGAAUCUGGGCCUGUCAGAAGCUCAAAAUGGAGAUGUGUCUCAAGAAGCAGUGGAAAAUUUGAAAGUUUUUAAAUCUCCCCAGAAAUCUGCUGUAUUAACUAAUGGAGAAGCAGCAAUGCCGUCUCCCAAUUCAGAAUCAAAAAAGAAAACGAAGAAGAAAAAGAAAAAUGGUGAAUGAUGCUGGGCCUGAUACAAAAAAAAGCCAAAACUGAAAAGAGACGAAUCUGCAGAAGAAAUUGCCUAGACUCCUAAACAAACAGAAAAUAAUGUGGAGGAGCCAGAUAAUGAUGAAGAUGACAUGAGGUGCCCAGCCUGUCCCUGGGACUGACAGGAGCUUUUGAGGAUACUUCAUUUGCUUCUCUAUGUAAUCUUGUCAAUGAAAACACUCUGAAGGCAGUAGAAGAAAUGAGUUUUACAAACAUGACUGAAAUUCAGCAUAAAAGUAUCAGACCACUUCUGGAAGACAGGGAUCUUCUAGCAGCUGCAAAAACCGGCAGUGGUAAAACCCUGGCUUUCCUCAUCCCUGCAGUUGAACUUCUUAAGUUAAAGUUUAUGCCCAGGAAUGGAAUGGGAGUCCAUAUUCUUUCACCUGCUAGAGAACUGGCCAUGCAAAUUUUGGUGUUCUUAAGGAGCUAAUGACUCACCACGUGCACACCUAGGGGUUGAUAAUGGGUGGCAGUGACAGAUCUGCUGAAACACAGAAACUUGCUAAUGGGAUCAGCAUCAUUGUGGCCACACCAGGUCACCUGCUGGACCAUAUGCAAAAUACCCCAGGGUUUAUUCAUAAAAACCUGCAGUGUCUGGUUAUUGAUGAAACUGAUUGUACCUUGGAUGUUGGGUUUGAAGAUGAAUUGAAGCAAAUUAUUGAACUUUUGCCAACAUAUAGACAGACUGUGCUCUUUUCUGUUACCCAAACUCGAAAAGUUGAAGACCUGGCAAGGAUUUCUCUGCAAAGGAGCCUAUUGUAUGUUGGUGUUGAUGAUAUAAAACUAAUGCAACAGUGGAUGGUCUUGAGCAGGGAUAUGUUGUUUGUCCUGAAAAGAGAUUCCUUCUGCUCUUUACAUUCCUUAAGGAGAACCAAAAGAAGAAGGUGAUGGUCUUCCUUUCAUCGUGCAUGUCCAUUAAAUACCAGUGUGUGUUGCUAAACUACAUUGAUGUGCCAUUCAUGCACAGCAAAAGCAAAAUAAGCAUACAGCCACAUUCUUUCAGUUCCACAAGGGAGAUUCAGGAACACUAUUGUGUACAGAUGUGGCAGCAAGAGAACUGGACAUUCCUGAAGUCGACUGGAUUUCAGUAUUAUCCUCCAGAUGACCCGAUGGAAUGUAUUCAUCAUGUGGGUAAAACAGCCAGAGGCCUAAAUGGAAGAGGGCAUGCCUUGCUCAUUUUGCACCCAGAAGAAUUGGGUUUUCUUCACUACUUGAAACAAUCCAAGGUUGCAUUAAGUGAAUUUGACUUUUCCUUUUUCUAAAAUCUCUGACAUUCAGUCUCAGCUUGAGAAAUUAAAAAGAACUACUUUCUUCAUAAGUCAGCCUAGGAAGCAUAUAAAUCAAACAUCUGAGCCUAUGAUUCCCAUUCUCUGAAACAGAUCUUUAAUGUUAAUAACUUAAAUUUGCCUCAAGUUGUUCUGUCAUUUCGUUUCAAGGUGCCUUCCUUUAUUGAUCUGAAUGUCAACAGCAAUGAAAGGAAGCAGAAAAAGCAAGGAGGUGGUGGUGGAUUUGGCUACCAGAAAACCAAGAAAGUUGAGAAGUCCAAAAUCUUGAAACACAUUAGCAAGAGAUCAUCCGACGGCAAGCAGUUCUCUCACUGAAGACAUGCCUUUCUUUCAUCUUGAAUAACUUUAUCCUAAAAUGAAUUUUUUCCUCUUGAUUUAACAGAGUUUUUGUAUCCUUUAGAAUUUGAACUUAUCUAACAAGAGUAUACAAAUUGACUUGGAUUGAAAGCACUGAGUCCUGUUACUUCCAUCAAGUCUCUCUUUUAUUUUUGGGACAUAAAACAGGCUUUAAUUUUCUUGGUUGCUCAAGGGCAGAGCGAGGAAUAUCUGAUCUUUGUGAUGAUACAAUAUUUUAAUUUUAAAUAUCCCUCCCUCAUACAUACAAACGUAUGUUACUGUUUUGAUGUAAUUCUUCUUGUACCUUUCCUCCUUGCUUUGUGAAGAUUUUUGUGGCAUGGAUUGCUGUGCUCACUGCUGCAAAAGGUGACCUAGGGUACUGGGCAGCUGGUGGUCAUGCAGAAAAGAGUCUCAGGUUCUUUUUUGUUUUAGUGAUUUCUUGGAUCUUGACAGUAUCUCAUGUCUCCUCCUGAAAAUGCUGCAGUAUAAAAGAGCAAACAGCUUUGGAAAUACCUUAGAAGCACCUUAGGAUUAGGGUGACAUUGCUUUCAUAGAUUCUUGAUUUUAAAACAAUGAGCUUUUCUCGGGUGUUUUGCUUUUUGGAGCAAAACCUGUGGGUUGUAAUUUCAAUUCAGUGUCACUA